AGAGGUCCCAAGCGUUGUUCGGAUUCACUGGGCGUAAAGGGUGCGUAGGUGGUGGGGUAAGUCGGAUGUGAAAGCUCGGAGCUCAACUCCGAAAUGGCAUUGGAAACUGCCCUGCUAGAGGAUUGGAGGGGGGACUGGAAUACUUGGUGUAGCUGUGAAAUGCGUAGAUAUCAAGUGGAACACCAGUGGCGAAGGCGAGUCCCUGGACAAUACCUGACACUGAGGCACGAAAGCUAGGGGAGCAAACAGGAUUAGAUACCCUGGUAGUCCUAGCCGUAAACCGGGUGCACGUUUGCUGUAAAAGGAAUCGACCCCUUUUGUGGCGUAGCCAACGCGUUAAACGUGCCGCCUGGGAAGUACGGUCGCAAGAUUA
rnacentral:rRNA from 1 species